rnacentral:rRNA from 1 species
GACGAACGCUGGCGGCGUGCUUAACACAUGCAAGUCGAACGGAAAGGCCCUGCUUUUGUGGGGUGCUCGAGUGGCGCACGGGUGAGUAACACGUGAGUAACCUGCCCUUGACUUUGGGAUAACUUUUGGAAACUGGGGCUAAUACCGGAUAGGAGCUCCUGCUGCACGGGGGGGGUUGGAAAGUUUCGGCGGUUGGGGAUGGACUCGCGGCUUAUCAGCUUGUUGGUGGGGUAGUGGCUUACCAAGGCUUUCAAGGGUAGCCGGCCUGAGAGGGUGACCGGCCACAUUGGGACUGAGAUACGGCCCAGACUCCUACGGGAGGCAGCAGUGGGGAAUAUUGCACAAUGGGCGGAAGCCUGAUGCAGCAACGCCGCGUGCGGGAUGACGGCCUUCUGGUUGUAAACCGCUUUCGCCUGUGACGAAGCGUGAUUGACGGUAAUGGGUAAAGAAGCACCGGCUAACUACGUG